AGGGCGGCAGUGCACGUGACUCCGGCCGUUACCCGGAAGUGUAACGCAGCAGGUAAACAAGAGACCACGACGCCUCGGAGGGUCUCCGCCGCUGUUCGUCUCACACUGCCGGUAAAAUGUCGAAGAUCGAGAUGCUGCGGCUGCUGAUCAACCAGCGGCUCACCGCGGCGGCGGAGGAGAUCUUCGGGGUGUUCGGGAGGACCAUAGCGGAGUACGAGGAGCAGAUCUCCCGCUACAAGCUGGAGAUCCAGCGGCAGCGCCGGCUGCAGGAGCUCCGCAUGCAGCCGCAGAUCUCCCUGCAGCUGCACAGCGCAGCUCGGCCCGAGCAGCAGGACUGGAGCUGUGAGUCGACUCCUCCUCACAUCAAAGAGGAAGAGGAGGAGCUGUGGCCGGUGCCGCAGGAGGAGGAGCCGCAGGAGGAGGCGCCGCAGGAGGAGGCGCCUCCCGCGUCGGAGAACAACCAUGUCAACUUUAUGUUGUUUCAGAGCGGCGGUGUGAGAAACGAGCCGGAUCUCAACCACAUGACCUCUCCACUCCCAAAGUUCACGAGCCAGGACCCGGAGGACCCAGAGGACCUGGAGGAACCACAGCUUGACCCUCAGCUGGGCACCUCAGUCCAGCAGACCUGCACAGACCUGGUCCAGGACUCUCCUGAGGCUUCAGAUAACGGUCAGCUGGACUGUGUGGAGCUGGAAGCGCCGCUCUCCGAGGUGGUGGACUCGUAUAUUUGCACCAUCUGUGGCCGAGCGUUCGCUCAGCGCGGACACUGGGCCAAACACGUCCAGGUUCACCGCAAGGUCGGGUCAAAAACCGACAAGUCGUACACCUGUGAAAUCUGCGGGAAGAGACUGACGCGCUUCGAUGGCUACCAGAAGCACCUGAGGAUCCACACGGGCGAGAAGCCGUACAGCUGCGAGGAAUGCGGCCGCAGAUUCAGUGACAACUCCAACUACAAACGACACAUUCGCACUCACACGACACCGAAAACACAGCAGAGCUGAGGCUGCAGGACGUUCAGAGUUACAGUGAUGCAGUUAAAUGCAGCAGAGCUGAGGCUGCAGCAGAGCUGAGGCUGCAGGACGUUCAGAGUUACAGUGAUGCAGUUAAAUGCAGCAGAGCUGAGGCUGCAGGACGUUCAGAGUUACAGUGAUGCAGUUAAAUGCAGCAGAGCUGAGGCUGCAGGACGUUCAGAGUAACAGUGAUGCAGUUAAAUGCAGCAGACCCGAGGCUGCAGGACGUUCAGAGUUACAGUGAUGCAGUUAAAUGCAGCAGAGCUGAGGCUGCAGGAUGUUCAGAGUUACAGUGAUGCAGUUAAAUGCAGCAGAGCUGAGGCUGCAGGACGUUCAGAGUUACAGUGAUGCAGUUAAAUGCAGCAGAGCUGAGGCUGCAGGACGUUCAGAGUUACAGUGAUGCAGUUAAAUGCAGCAGAGCUGAGGCUGCAGGAUGUUCAGAGUUACAGUGAUGCAGUUAAAUGCAGCAGAGCUGAGGCUGCAGGACGUUCAGAGUAACAGUGAUGCAGUGAGCUGCAGCAGAGCUGAGGCUGCAGGACGUUCAGAGUAACAGUGAUGCAGUGAGCUGCAGCAGAGCUGAGGCUGCAGGACGUUCAGUUACAGUGAUGCAGUUAAAUGCAGCAGAGCUGAGGCUGCAGGAUGUUCAGAGUUACAGUGAUGCAGUUAAAUGCAGCAGAGCUGAGGCUGCAGGACGUUCAGAGUUACAGUGAUGCAGUGAGCUGCAGCAGAGCUGAGGCUGCAGGACGUUCAGAGUUACAGUGAUGCAGUGAGCUGCAGCAGAGCUGAGGCUGCAGCAGAGCUGGGGCUGCAGCAGAGCUGGGGCUGCAGCUGUGCGCUAUCAUCACACCUGUCUGUGAAAGCGGGAAAGCACAAAUUCAGGAAUAUGAACUUUCUGUCUCAGACUCUGAUCUCUUUAUCUGUUGAUUCAGCCAAUCACGUGAUACAUGUGUGUGUUUCUGUCGUCACGUGACUGCAUCAGUAUAAACAAACUGACAUUAUUAAUACUAACAGUCUCUGGUUGGAGGCAGAUAUUUGAUUUCAUAUAUUUGUUUAUGGAUUUACAGAACACACUAAUCUAAGGGCUCACAUGCAAGUGUGCAGGAAAUGCUUCCAAGAUGUUAAAAGGUUCAUAAAGUUAAAGGAUAACAUCCUGUUUGAUAAGUUAAAGAGUUCGGUCUCGACCUGCUCUGUGAAAACAGCCCUGAGAUCACUUCUGUUAUGAUUUGGCGUUAUAUAAAUAAAACUGAACUAAAGAAGUUGAAAUUAAGUCA